rnacentral:rRNA from 1 species
ACGGGAGCAAGAACUAACAGGAUUCCCUUAGUAACUGCGAGUGAAGAGGGAAGAGCUCAAAUUUGAAAUCUGGCGGUUGUUGAAGCCGUCCGAGUUGUAGUUUAGAGAAGUGCUAUCCGCGUUGGCCUGUGCAUAAGUUUCUUGGAAAAGAACAUCAUAGAGGGUGACAAUCCCGUCUUUGGCACAGAUUACCAGGGCUUUUGUGAUGCGCUCUCGACGAGUCGAGUUGUUUGGGAAUGCAGCUCUAAAUGGGUGGUAAAUUCCAUCUAAAGCUAAAUAUUGGCGAGAGACCGAUAGCGAACAAGUACCGUGAGGGAAAGAUGAAAAGAACUUUGAAAAGAGAGUUAAACAGUACGUGAAAUUGUUGAAAGGGAAACGCUUGAAGUCAGUCGCGUCCUCUAGGGAUCAAGUCAGCUCUGGCUGGCCGUACUUUCUAGUUGGAUGGGUCAGCAUCAAUUUUGACCGCUGGACAAAGGCCUUGGGAAUGUGGCAUCUCCGGAUGUGUUAUAGACCAUGGUUCUGAUACAGCGAUUGGGAUUGAGGAACUCGGCGCUCUGCGUCCAAGGAUGCUGGCAUAAUGGCUUUAAUCGACCCGUCUUGAAACACGGACCAAGGAGUCUAACAUGCCUGCGAGUAUUUGGGUGGAAAACCCAUGUGCGCAAUGAAAGUGAAAGUUGAGAUCUCUGUCAUGGAGAGCAUCGACGCCCGGACCUGACCUUCUGCGACGGAUCUGCGGUAGAGCAUGCAUGUUGGGACCCGAAAGAUGGUGAACUAUGCCUGAAUAGGGUGAAGCCAGAGGAAACUCUGGUGGAAGCUCGUAGCGAUUCUGACGUGCAAAUCGAUCGUCGAAUUUGGGUAUAGGGGCGAAAGACUAAUCGAACCAUCUACUAUGGUGGUUAAGAGGCGCCCGAAAGGGUCAGCCUAGUGAGCAGUUGAGGCUCGCGACAUUGUCAAAUUGCGGGGACGUCCUAAAGCCUUUCACUACUAAGCCCAAUGUUGAAAAGCAUUGGUGGGCCGAGUUAUAGCCCUGGGUAUAGUAAAAAUGUGAAGGAUAUUACAUGGAUAUCGCAGCCAGUCCUAAUGUUAAUGACCAUGGAUGCAGUUCACGACUAAUGCCAGUGGGUGUGCUAGAGAGCAUGCUUAAGAUAAUAGUUCGGUC